GAAUCUCUGAGCGGGUCUUCCACAGGGCAACACUCUGCCAUGCUGCCAACACUUUAGAGGAAGUAUUUACCUCCCUUUGGCCCCUGGGGCCAUCUGAGUUUGAGACUUUAGGAUAAAGGAGUGGGGAGCGGGUAUGGAAUCCGAGUGAUGGCUGCUUCAGGAAGGGGUUGAUCCAGGAGUCAGAGAUCCAGGAGUUGAUCCCUGAACUGCCCCAGGCCGACCUGUCUCUGGGCCUCAGUUUUCUCAUCUGUAAAAUGGGGAUGCUAAAGGAAUAGUUUUGGGGAGGAUUAAGCGGUAACCCUGCAGGUCGGGGCGGGAGGAAAGCACUCAGCGUGUGCGGUCCCCGCUGUGGUGAAGGCCGCUCAUCCUGCUGGGUCGGGCUUGGCUCGGGUCUCCUUCGCGCCCAGGGUUGGGGCGCGGCUGCUGGCGUGCUGGGGGCAUCAGACAGCGAUCCCUGAGUUCUCCUCGCCUCUGCGGAAACGGGGGACCCGACCUGGGGACCCCAGCCCUCGGAUGGCACCUCCCUGGGCCGAGUCCAUGGGAUCCCUGGGCCGGGAGGGGGCGCCCUUGGCUGGGUCUUCCCAGGCGUCUUCCGUGGGCGGGGGUCUCCCCACGCGAGGACCGCGCAGCCCGCACGCGCCUGUGGACAAAGUCCGGCCCGCCCGGGACUCCACUUGCGGCUCCAACGUCCCGGACGGGCGGGGGCGUGGCCUGGCGGCGGGCGGCCUCCAAACGCGAUUGGUCCUCCGGCCCGUCAUUCCCGAGCGCCCGCCCCCCCGGGUAUAAAAGCCCCCACCCCGGGCCCGCGCAGGACGGUUUCGGAGCUGGCGGUCGAGCCCUGCGCGCCCCGCUGACCGCGAGCCCGCUGUGGAGAAAAAUGUCUACCGACGGGACAGAAGCCACCCCAGAAGCCACCGCCAGCACCCAGGCGACAGGCGAAGAACCAGUCCAGCAGGUGAGGGCGGGGCUGGGGCCUGUGGGAGAACCGUGGCCGGGAGCCGCUGGCUGCACCUGGGGUCAACAGAUCUCUUUGUGGGUGAGGGAGAGCCGUCACCCGGACCCCAGACAGGUGGGGGCUGGGGCACAACUGCAAACCCCGGAGGCUUUGGGGAGAUCAGGGGUAUGCUCUGAACCUGCCUGCUUCCCCCACCGCUGCCCUGUCUGCAGGGGCUCAUAG
rnacentral:lncRNA from 12 species